UGUGUUUCAACUACAAAAAGAACCAAAAUAACGGCAGUUUUCUUUCCAAUGGCCACAAUCAAAUCAACAAGAGAGCCAAAAGCCCUAAGGGCUCCCGUCACUCACUCGACCAACUUCACAGCUCUGAAAUCUGAAUGACUCUCCCUUCUCCAACCCUGGCUUCUCUUUGACCACCAACACAGCGCCACCAUCGAUCAUCAUCCCCAAUGUCUCCGUCAGAACCACAGAACCACCAUUGUCAUCUUCUUCUUCUUCUCCCAUUCUUUCUUCUUCUUCUUCCACCUUCGCCGAACAACCCUGGGAAAACCCUUCUCUCUUUCUUUUCCUGUCUUCUGCCUUCUUUGUCUCGCCACUGGCUCCUAUCCAGCGCCGUCGCGACCAUCUUUUUCUCCUCCUUACAACCUUGCACUGUGGCUCUCUAGCUCGCCCCUGCCUCCCUCAUUUUCAGUCGCAGAAUCAGAACAGAGCCACUCCAGUUCUAGCGAGUUCAGACGCAGCAGCGGCUGGUCAUUGCCACUGCAUCCCUCUCUCCUAGCUCUUGCUCUAUUCUUCGACUCAGUUGGUGCAGUUGUCGCUGUUGCUGCCUUGAAGGAGUUGAGGCUACUGCCGCUGCUCUGGCUGCAUUGAGGGUUGCUGCCGCUGUUGAAAAUUAAGGGAUAAAGAAAGGGGAUUAUCGCGGUUAGUUCCUACGGGUUCGACAAAUCAAGGUAGGGGGUUUGUUUUAAAAAUAAAGGUUUUAAAGUAUGAACGCCAAUAACAUUAAAUGAGUAAUUGCAAAUAGUUUAUGGCUUCUUUGUGUGAAUAAUUGUUGGAAUUGAGUUGAAUCAUAGCUGUGAUUGGUGAUUGGUUUAAUGAUUUCAUGUAGUAAUUAUUGAUGAUGUUGUGUGUUUUGAAGUGAUACAUGAUGAUAGUACUUGUUGAUGAUGGUUUUGAGUAUGGAAUAUUGAGAUGGUUGCUGGAAAUUUAUUUGAUGAAUCAUAACUUGAGAUAUGUUGUGAUAGAUGAGAUGCUAAAGAAUGGAUGCUGUGAUAAUAUGAUUACGUUGCACCUAUAAUGUGAAGUGGUGAAAUAUUGAAUUAAGCAUUCGUGGGCAAAUUUUGUUAGUUUAAAGAAAGUUAGAAUUAUGGUUUUAGAGGAAUUUUAGGCUUGAAUAUAAAAUAUGGUAUGAAGGGUUGUUAAAAUUACUUAAUGCAGAAUUUUCUGCAUAAUUGGCAGCAGCUUAAAAUAAAAACUGGGAGCAAUCUAGACAUAAUUCUUUAUCCAAAUUAUUUUUCUGUCAAACUUCAAGAAGUCGAGAUUUCUCCAUAAAAAUUUCAGGGAAUUUGGCCAAGUGGUUUGGAAGAUAUGAAUUUUUGAAGUUUAGUGGUUGCUGCAGAAUUUUCUGGUUUUCUGGUUUUGCAGUACCAACUUCCAGACGCUAUAACUUUUGAUUUAUUUGGAAUUUUGAGUUGCUUCCAAAAGGGUUUUAAAGAUAUAUCAGUCUAUUUUAAGUGAGUAUAAAUUUCACAUCCAUUUCUAUUUUGUAGAGUUAGUUAUGUUUCUUGGAAGUUGGGCUGUUUGCAGGAAAUUCAGAACUAAUUUAAAGAAACAGGGCAGCACUUUCAACUGACUUUUAAUUAACCAUACGAGAUGCUAUGGAUCUGAAAUUUAUUUGUCCUAAAACUUAUGAGUGUUAAGUAUAUCCUCACCAAAAUUUAGCCGUAAUGGAUUAGAAUUGAAUUUAUUACAGAUUUAUUAAAAACAGAACUGCUUGCUGUAUUUUUUUCUAAAUUCCCUUUAGUGCAGCAACAGAUUUUAUUAAGUUGGCUAUUUAAUUCAAUUCUAAUCCAAACGUGGUGAAACUUGGCUUAGACCUAAAGGAUAUGUCCAAAUUUAGCAGAAUGUAUGAACUUAGUUAAACAAAGGUGUGUACGUUAUCCCUAGGAAACGUUUAAAGUUAAAUGGUGAUGCAGAGGUACACCUAGUUUCAUGGUGAUGUGGAGGUACUUUUAGCAACUUGGUGAUGCGGAGGUGUGUUUAGUUGUAAGACGAUGCGGAGGCAUAAUGGAAAGGAAAGAAAGUAAGAAAUAAAGGGUGGAAAAGAUACUUAAAGGGAAAGAAAAAGAAUGAGGAACAAGGAAUGAAAUAAAAGUUGAGAAUUAUAUUGAAUGGGCUUUUGUGCCAAACUGCUAAUGCGAAAGGGCCCGCCUAACUGAUAGCCUGAGAUUGCUAAUGCGGGAAUGUUCGCCUAAUUGAUAGCACUGUUCCUUACUGUGAUACACAUUGAACUGUUAUUAUAAUGAGGCCUAAUUGACACGGGUAACCGUGAUGCCAAUAUGUCUAAUUGACACAGUAAAGGGACCAUAUUCGGGGUUCACUCCGAGUACGUCGGGUUGCGGGUAGACAACCGACGCAUGAGCUCAUGGCCUGCGCUAGGAACAGGCAUGCAUCAUCUUGUUUGCGCAUUUACAUUUGAUUGCGUUUGCUUUAUUGUUCAUUUGUGAUUGAGCUGUUGUUUUGGUGAUUUGCUUGUGUGCUUGAUGAAUAUUUUACUUGUGUUGUAGUCUUAAUAAUGUAUUUAGGAAUGUUGUUUAUGGAUAAGGAACUGUUAAUGUGACUGGAUUUUUGUGUAAGUAACGUGAUUUAAAGAAAGGAAUUUAAAACUGUUUUAAGUGAAAUUGUUUUUGUGAUAUGAACUAGCUAUUUGUAUUUACUCU